rnacentral:pre_miRNA from 1 species
AGGAGGAACAACCGCAGUGGCGGGGCCAGCUCUGGAGCCCUGGAGUCAGCCCCCGCAGUCACUCCGGAGCUCUCCGUCUGCAGGGCCUGGAGGCUCCAUGGAGUG